GUGUUACAGAUGAAACAACCGCGCCGACAACGUUAACAAGUGCCAGCCGUGAAACGCCUACAGAAGAACGGACUCCAACGCCAAGUGUCAGAGGUGAAACAACCGUUCCGACAAGGUCAACAAGUGGCACUCCUGAAACACCUACAGAAAAACGGACUCCUACG